rnacentral:rRNA from 1 species
GUAACACGUAAAGAACCUGCCCUCAGGUCUGGGAUAACCACGAGAAAUCGGGGCUAAUACCGGAUGGGUCAUCGGACCGCAUGGUCCGAGGAUGAAAGGCGCUUCGGCGUCGCCUGGGGAUGGCUUUGCGGUGCAUUAGCUAGUUGGUGGGGUAAUGGCCCACCAAGGCGACGAUGCAUAGCCGACCUGAGAGGGUGAUCGGCCACACUGGGACUGAGACACGGCCCAGACUCCUACGGGAGGCAGCAGUAGGGAAUCUUCCACAAUGGACGAAAGUCUGAUGGAGCAACGCCGCGUGAACGAUGAAGGCCUUCGGGUCGUAAAGUUCUGUUGUAAGGGAAGAACAAGUGCCGCAGGCAAUGGCGGCACCUUGACGGUACCUUGCGAGAAAGCCACGGCUAACUACGUGCCAGCAGCCGCGGUAAUACGUAGGUGGCAAGCGUUGUCCGGAAUUAUUGGGCGUAAAGCGCGCGCAGGCGGCCUCUUAAGUCUGAUGUGAAAGCCCCCGGCUCAACCGGGGAGGGCCAUUGGAAACUGGGAGGCUUGAGUAUAGGAGAGAAGAGUGGAAUUCCACGUGUAGCGGUGAAAUGCGUAGAGAUGUGGAGGAACACCAGUGGCGAGGGCGACUCUUUGGCCUAUAACUGACGCUGAGGCG